GCGUCGGUGGUUCAGUGGUAGAAUACUCGCCUGCCACGCGGGUGGCCCGGGUUCGACUCCCGGCCGACGCA
rnacentral:tRNA from 1 species